GUGCGGUACCUUCCAGCACCACCCCAUCUCAGGACUCGGAGGAAGAGGAGAUGAUCACCAGCCCCCGGCAGGAGGGAAUGAAGACAUUGAAGGCCAAAUUGGCCAAACUGCAAAGGGCGCAUCUCCAUGAUAUGCGGGCCGUUCAUGAGCGCUUGAAGGGCAUGGAGGAGAGGCAAUGCAAGGCCAUGAAGGAGGUCCAUGAGAUUAUCAUGCUUUUGGAGAAAUUGCCUUAAUU